AAGGCUGGAGCUAAAAGAAGGGAAAGGA
rnacentral:piRNA from 1 species